AAGCAGGUAAGCUAAGUUUAAGCUAUUGGGCUCAUAACCCACAAAUGGAAUUAUUCCCCUGUUUA
rnacentral:tRNA from 1 species